CUACCCUGAUCUGCGGAAUAGCUCCGGGAAACUGGAAUUAAUACCGCAUGUGCCCUGAGGGGCAAAGAUUUAUCGGUUCAGGAUGAGCCCGCGUCCGAUUAGCUAGUUGGUGGGGUAAAGGCCUACCAAGGCGACGAUCGGUAGCUGGUCUAAGAGGAUGAUCAGCCACAUUGGGACUGAGACACGGCCCAAACUCCUACGGGAGGCAGCAGUGGGGAAUAUUGGACAAUGGGCGCAAGCCUGAUCCAGCCAUGCCGCGUGAGUGAUGAAGGCCCUAGGGUUGUAAAGCUCUUUCAGUGGGGACGAUAAUGACGGUACCCACAGAAGAAGCCCCGGCUAACUUCGUGCCAGCAGCCGCGGUAAUACGAAGGGGGCUAGCGUUGUUCGGAAUUACUGGGCGUAAAGCGCACGUAGGCGGACAUUUAAGUCAGGGGUGAAAUCCCGGGGCUCAACCCCGGAACUGCCUUUGAUACUGGGUGUCUUGAGUUCGGAAGAGGUGAGUGGAAUUGCGAGU
rnacentral:rRNA from 1 species